GGUAGCUCAGUGGUAGAGUGCUUGCCUUGCAUGCAUGAGUCUCUGGGUUCAAUUCCUCAGUACCA
rnacentral:tRNA from 1 species